CCUACGGGUGGCAGCAGUGAGGAAUAUUGGUCAAUGGACGAGAGUCUGAACCAGCCAAGUAGCGUGAAGGAUGACUGCCCUAUGGGUUGUAAACUUCUUUUAUAUGGGAAUAAAACGUUCCACGUGUGGGAUUUUGUAUGUACUAUAUGAAUAAGGAUCGGCUAACUCUGUGCCAGCAGCCGCGGUAAUACGGAGGAUCCGAGCGUUAUCCGGAUUUAUUGGGUUUAAAGGGAGCGUAGGUGGAUUGUUAAGUCAGUUGUGAAAGUUUGCGGCUCAACCGUAAAAUUGCAGUUGAAACUGGCAGUCUUGAGUACAGUAGAGGUGGGCGGAAUUCGUGGUGUAGCGGUGAAAUGCUUAGAUAUCACGAAGAACUCCGAUUGCGAAGGCAGUUCACUGGACUGCAACUGACACUGAGGCUCGAAAGUGUGGGUAUCAAACAGGAUUAGAUACCCCUGUAGUC
rnacentral:rRNA from 1 species